rnacentral:rRNA from 1 species
UACGGGGGGAGCAAGCGUUGUUCGGAUUUACUGGGCGUAAAGGGCGCGUAGGCGGCGUGACAAGUCACUUGUGAAAUCUCCGGGCUUAACCCGGAGCGGCCAAGUGAUACUGUCGUGCUAGAGUGCGGAAGGGGCUACUGGAAUUCUCGGUGUAGCGGUGAAAUGCGUAGAGAUUUGGAGGAACACCAGUGGCGAAGGCGACUUUCUGGGCCAACACUGACGCUCAUGCACGAAAGCGUGGGGAGCAAACAGG